rnacentral:lncRNA from 1 species
UCUGAUUUGUUGAACUAUUGGUCUCGAAUCAAUUACAGAACACAUCGAAGCUCCUUCGUACGAUUGGUCUCUAUUUUCUCUCAAUUGAAAGUCAAAUUGUGAGAAUUGAGAGAAUCCUUCCGCCGCUAUGAUCAAAUUCAGAGAGAAUUGAAAUUCAAAUAUUUUACUCUCUCAGAUGAAAUUCAAAUAUUUUACUCUCAGAUGAAAUUCAAAUGGGAGAGAAUUGAGAGACUGUAUAUAACACGUGCCUUUUAACGCCUAACGGUCUUAUUCUUUCCAAAAUAUGGCCGUAGGAUCUGAUCUGCGAAGCUUUGAUCAGAGUUCUAAACUCGCUCCCGGCUAGCAUAUUACGG